UAAGUGUAAAUGAGGCAAUGUAACUACAAUCAUCUAUGAUGAUGCCUUCACAACAAUAAAAAAUACUCAGCAAGGCCUGGAGACUCACAUAAGGACAUAAUCUCCAUUAAAACUUGAUUUUCAGUAGGAAGCGCCAAAACUCAGAUCAAUGCAUAAUAUAGUAAUAGUGGUUCAGUGUAAAGCAACAAUUUAGGGGCAAGCACAAUAUAGAUAUGAUUCAAUACAAAGUACUCCCUCCGUCCCAAAAUAAGUGUCUCCCUGAGAUUUUAAAUUGGGUUAACAGGUUAAGCAUCUUUUAAGUUGAAUGAUAGUAUGAUGCCAAACAGAACAUGCUUGUUAGAAUGCAUAUUGAAUAAUACAAACUGAAUUUCAACUUGGGACCAUCCGAUGUUAACACAUAUAAUAUUUUUCGACUUGCAAUAUAACUGUACCAAACCACAAGUGUUUUUCGAUUUGGAUAUACAUGGGACCAAAAAAUGUAACUAAAACUGCAACAUGAUAUGACAACUACCACAACCAAAAAGAGAGCACGGGCAUGCUCAUGUUUAAAUCGGAAAGAGAGAAAGAAAAAAAAUUAACUGCGCCUAUAACAAAGAGGGAACAGAAGAGAGGAGGGAGAGGGGUAAGGGACCUUCCAUGGCGUCAGCUCUAGCCGGGGAGGGCCGGGGCAGACAGGCGAAUCAUGAGAAGGAGGCUCCUCUCUACCGGUGGAGAAGGAGCAGACCUCGAGAACCCUUCCUUAGUUCCUUUUACUGUCGGCGUCGUCCCGGUACAGAUCAGACAUAAUUUAAAUUCCCUUGCAUAGAAAUGCAUCAGGUUCAAUCUCCUUGAAUGAGGAAAAGUACAGGUGGUACAGUACACAGCAGCCUUGAUAGCCCUUGUGUAGAAAAAAAAUAAAGUCUCCCAUCUUCCAACAAAAUAUAAAUUGCAACCCUACAGUUUUGACAUGUGCAUCGACAUUAAUGUUUGACUUAACCAAGUAACUAGCAGCGCUACCCUUUCGGCGCAGGUCCAUUUAUUUGAUUUUUUGGAACAGUUUCGACACACUGCAUGAAUAUUUCACAUCACUAUGCUAGUUGAAUCGUGGAGUUGAUGUCAAUCAACAUAAGUGUUAUAUAUCAAAGUAAGUAAGCUGGCCAUUAAUAAAGCAUGGAGCUAAAGUAGAUCAAGUGGGCUACCUUAACGCCUUCUUGAUUCCAACAGAUCUUGUAUCCAUUUUGAGGCCAUCAAGUAAUGAAUCAAACUCCUACAGUUAUAGCGCAACGUCGAUCAUAAAAAAUGUAGAUGCGGGAUUCUAGUAAGUGCCAAAUCAUGAUUCUUUAUAGCUGCAAGUACCUCCAGCCAGCAAGCAUGCGCGCAGCCAAAUCAUGAAUCUUUAUCACCUGUACUUGCAAAA
rnacentral:lncRNA from 1 species